rnacentral:miRNA from 1 species
GCUCUGUCUGCUAGACCGCAGC